CAGAGGAGCAAGCAGGCUGGAGAAGGAAACUUUUGCCAGCAAGCUGUUGAGAAUCAGCAUCCAGAGAGGGGGCAACCAGAUCUACAGGCUGGAGAAGCCCACAGAAACCAAGGGAGGUCAACUGUACCAUGUGGCACCAGCACCAUGAGA